rnacentral:sRNA from 1 species
UACCUAAACUCCCCCAAAAAGGAGCAUGGUAUAAAAGCCAGUUCAGGGACGAGAGCUCCUCGUCAGAUGCCUGAACUGGUCGUAUUCCGAAAGGGGUACGGGGUCGCAAGACUC